rnacentral:rRNA from 1 species
ACGCUCGACACCUACGGGAGGCAGCAGGUGGGGAAUAUUGCACAAUGGGGGAAACCCGUGAUGCAGCGACGCCGCGUGAGCGAAGAAGUAUUUCGGUAUGUAAAGCUCUAUCAGCAGGGAAGAAACUGACGGUACCUGACUAAGAAGCACCGGCUAAAUACGUGCCAGCAGCCGUGGUAAUCUGAGCGGGCUGGCAAGGC